rnacentral:piRNA from 1 species
UGGAGUGGAAAGACCCAUGCACUCAGGUC